rnacentral:rRNA from 1 species
GACGAACGCUGGCGGCGUGCUUAACACAUGCAAGUCGAACGGAAAGGCCCUGCUUUUGUGGGGUGCUCGAGUGGCGAACGGGUGAGUAACACGUGAGUAACCUGCCCUUGACUUUGGGAUAACUUCAGGAAACUGGGGCUAAUACCGGAUAGGAGCUCCUGCUGCAUGGUGGGGGUUGGAAAGUUUCGGCGGUUGGGGAUGGACUCGCGGCUUAUCAGCUUGUUGGUGGGGUAGUGGCUUACCAAGGCUUUGACGGGUAGCCGGCCUGAGAGGGUGACCGGCCACAUUGGGACUGAGAUACGGCCCAGACUCCUACGGGAGGCAGCAGUGGGGAAUAUUGCACAAUGGGCGGAAGCCUGAUGGAGCAACGCCGCGGGCGGGAGGACGGCCUUCGGGUUGUAAACCGCUUUCGCCUGUGACGAAGCGUGAGUGACGGUAAUGGGUAAAGAAGCACCGGCUAACUACGG